CCUCUGGUAGCUCAGUUGGUAGAGCGGUGGACUGUAGUAGGUUGUUGCAUAAUCAGUGCAGAUAUCCAUAGGCCGCUGGUUCAAAUCCGGCCCGGAGGA
rnacentral:ncRNA from 13 species